UGGGGAAUAUUGCACAAUGGGCGCAAGCCUGAUGCAGCCAUGCCGCGUGUGUGAAGAAGGCCUUCGGGUUGUAAAGCACUUUCAGCGGGGAGGAAGGCGUUAAGGUUAAUAACCUUGGCGAUUGACGUUACCCGCAGAAGAAGCACCGGCUAACUCCGUGCCAGCACCCGCGGUAAUACGGAGGGUGCAAGCGUUAAUCGGAAUUACUGGGCGUAAAGCGCACGCAGGCGGUCUGUCAAGUCGGAUGUGAAAUCCCCGGGCUUAACCCGGGAAUUGCAUCUGAUACUGGUCAGCUAGAGUCUUGUAGAGGGGGGUAGAAUUCCAUGUGUAGCGGUGAAAUGCGUAGAGAUGUGGAGGAAUACCGGUGGCGAAGGCGGCCCCCUGGACAAAGACUGACGCUCAGGUGCGAAAGCGUGGGGAGCAAACAGG
rnacentral:rRNA from 1 species